rnacentral:rRNA from 1 species
GACGAACGCUGGCGGCGUGCCUAACACAUGCAAGUCGAGCGGGGUUGAAGCGAGGGGUAACUCGAGUUUCUACCUAGCGGCGGACGGGUGAGUAACGCGUGGGCAACCUGCCUCAAGGACUGGGAUAACAGCUCGAAAGGGCUGCUAAUACCGGAUAAGCCUAUGGCCUCGCAUGGGGCCAUGAGCAAAGGGGAAACCUGCCUUGAGAUGGGCCCGCGUCCCAUCAGCUAGUUGGUGAGGUGAAGGCUCACCAAGGCGACGACGGGUAGCCGGCCUGAGAGGGUGACCGGCCACACUGGGACUGAGACACGGCCCAGACUCCUACGGGGGGCAGCAGUGGGGAAUCUUGCACAAUGGGCGAAAGCCUGAUGCAGCGACGCCGCGUGAGCGAAGAAGGCCUUCGGUUGUAAAGCUCUGUCUGGAGGGACGGAAGGAAGUGACGGUACCUCCGGAGGAAGCCACGGCUAACUACGUG